CAAAACUUUUACUUGUGUACUUCUCUUGGAAAUUAAUUUAGUCAUUUACGUGAUUGGCAGAAUGUAACAUGGAUAUUGACUCCCAUAGCAAUCAGCGUAACCUAUAUAAUUUAUAAGCUUCUGUUUGAAAAACUGAAAUAACAAAUAUAAGCAAAAUAUAUUUCUAUCACAGAGGUUGCCUUCAAAUGCAUAGAUUAAUAAUCCUUUUGCUCGUUGCUCCUUUAAUUAUAUCACAAAGUUGAUACUAGUGAGUUUUUCACAGCCUCUGCUCCUCUGCUCCCCACGAUGCUUUUUCAGCAUAACUAAACACUUCCUGACUCAAAUCCUCCUCAAACAGCCUUGGUUCUCAGGUUGCAAUUGUGCAUUCUCUUUUAAAUUAUACUAUAUACUAAAGUUGGUGAUCUACUGUUCAUCAGCUUAGUAACAGUCCAGGCUUGAGCCGAGCCGUUACAUGAAAAGACGGUUCUGUAUAUGUUAAGACCAUUAUCAGCUUGCUUCUGACCUUUAUUAUUCUCCUUCCUCUCGCUUUCUAGGCUCCACCACUUCGUUCUCUCUCUUCAUGGCUUCACCAGCAAUGAAGAAGGCUAUAUUUCAUCUACGCGGCAAUGUUUCGUUUAUCUAUAUCAUCUGCAAACUUCUAAAUCCUGCGCCUCAAUGGAUUGUCUUUCUGAAUUUCAAUUGAUAGGGCCAUUAGCGCAGUAUAACAGCUUAGUUGAGCAAGGGAAGCUGCAACAUGAUCCGAACCAAGGUUAUUUAUAUGGAAUUGAUUUCACUGGCCAUGAAUGAGAAUAGAUAAAGAGAGAUGAGGGGAGCUUUUCCACCAGUUAGAGAAACAUGAGCAAUUCUCUGUAGCUAAUGCAAGGGUUCUCUUUAGGCAUCUGAUUCAGGUAGUUUUAUAUUGUCAUGAAAAUGGGGUUUCCAUAGAGAUUUGAAGCCUGAGAAUAUUCUGUUGGACAAAAGCCUCUUCAUCUCCCUAUUAAGUUGGCAGGACCAGUUAUGCAACUUACAUCAGGCCUGGUCAGAGUUUGCACGGUUCGGUGCAAGUCCGUUUUAUAUAGCGCCUGAGGUACUUGCUGGGGUGCUGAUGUUUACAGUGCAGGGGUAAUUCUUUGCAUUCUUCUUAGAGGAAUACCACCAUUUUGGAGGAAUCAAGCAUAUUUGAUGCUGUUAGGACAGCUGAUCUGAGGUUCCCAUCUGAUCCCUGGAGGAAUCAAGCAUAUUUGAUGCUGUUAGGACAGCUGAUCUGAGGUUCCCAUCUGAUCCCUGGGAUGGCAUCAUUGAAUCAGCUAAUGAUUUGAUUCGAGGAAUGCUCUGUAAAGAUCCUUCUAAAAGGCUCACCGCUCACCAAGUUUUAGGUAGUUUAAGUAAUGAUUGCAGUAACAGAGUUUGCUCAAAUGCUGAUCUUAGAUGCUAAAAGCCUGUAGCCAUUGAUACUCACUGUUGUCCUUAUUUGGCUUCUGAUAGAAAAUGUUUUAUAAAUCAUCUAUGUAGUUCAGAGCCAUGUCCUCCCCCUCUCUUACUAAAAAGAAGACGUUCCUUAAGAAUCUGAGAUCAUUCUAGCUAGCAUCUGUAAUAUGAUACGAGUUAAAGUUGAAAGUGUGGUGUAGUAUGAUCAGUGCUUUUAUAUGAAUCUUUUAAAGGGAAUCA